rnacentral:tRNA from 1 species
AGCUCUUUCGUCUAGCGGACAAGGACAUUGCUCUCUAAAAAGAAAUAAAACUUGGGAGUAAGGCAAGAACCCCAGUUCGAAUCUGGGAAGGGCCC